rnacentral:pre_miRNA from 1 species
AGUGGGAUAACUGGGUCAAAUGGUAUUCCAAGUUUUCUGAGGAAUCUCCAUACUGCUUUCCAGAAUGGCUGCACAAAUUUGCAGUCCCACCAGCAGU